rnacentral:rRNA from 1 species
UACACUCUUUCUCUUAACAACGCUGCACCUAAAUGCAUUUCGGGGAGAUAGCUCGUACUCCCCGAAAUGCAUUUAGGUGCAGCGUUGUUAAGAGUGUCAUGGAGGUAGAGCUACCGAUAGGGCUAGGGGGCUUCACCGCCUACCAACCCCUGACGAACUCCGAAUGCCAAGACACUGCACCAGCAGUGAGGCCGGGGGUGCUAAGGUCACUGGCCGAGAGGGAAAGAACCCAGACCAUCAGCUAAGGUCCCCAAGUGUAUACUAAGUUGAAUAAACGAGGUGAGAAUGCUAAGACAGCUAGGAUGUUGGCUUGGAAGCAGCCAUUCAUUUAAAGAGUGCGUAACAGCUCACUAGUCGAGCGUUCUUGCGCGAAAAAUAAUCGGGCAUCAAGUAAACCACCGAAGCUAUGGGUCCAGCAGAGAUGCUGGGAGGUAGGGGAGCAUUCUAAACAUGCAGAAGCAGUAUUGUAAAGUAUUGUGGAGAGUUUAGAAAAGAAAAUGUAGGCAUGAGUAACGAUAAAAUAGGUGAGAAACCUAUUCACCGAAAGACUAAGGGUUCCUAGAUCUAUGUUAAUCAGAUCAGGGUUAGUCGGGACCUAAGGUGUAGCCGAGAGGCGAAGCUGAUGGAAAAUCGGUUAAUAUUCCGAUACCA